GACGUAGGGGACGAGCGUUGUCCGGAUUCAUUGGGCGUAAAGCGCGCGUAGGCGGUUCGGUAAGUCGGGUGUGAAAACACGGAGGCUCAACCUCGUGCGUGCAUCCGAUACUGCCGGACUAGAGGUAGGUAGGGGAGAUCGGAAUUCCUGGUGUAGCGGUGAAAUGCGCAGAUAUCAGGAGGAACACCGGUGGCGAAGGCGGAUCUCUGGGGCCUUACCUGACGCUCAGGCGCGAAAGCUAGGGGAGCGAACAGG
rnacentral:rRNA from 1 species